GGAAAAUUGCCCUGAUGAGAGGAGUGAUGUUGUCCUUAAGAAUUGGUAUGCAUUCCUCAGCAUCAAAGUAAAAACAGUUUUUACCCAGCCUAUGGUGAAUACCUUAGUGAAUACCUUAGUAAAUGGUUUGGAUGCUAAAGUAAAAAAACAAUUGAUGUUAUCCUUACUGGGAUGGCGGGAUAAAUCACUUAAUAUUGUAUUAAGUGCAGCAUCAGAAAUUUGACAAGCUAUUCAAAUCAAGGAAAAUGCAAAAGCUGAGCACAUAAUGCUACAAGCUGAACAAAUGCCUGUUAGAUAUUAUGCACAUCAGCCAAGACAAAACAUAGCCAGAAGACCCCCACAGAAUAAUGUAAGAACAUUUAUCAAAUGUUUCAAUUGUGAUGGAUAUGGUCAUAUAGCAACAGAUUGCAAGGAGGUAAAGGGGGCAAGAAAGCAAUUAGAAGAAAAAGACAGACUAGAUGUAGAGGAAGAUUGGGGUCUGAAUAUGUAUUGUUAGUGUACCUGUGACCCAAGGUCCAGAACCUAUGGUACAUUUGAAAGUAAAUUAAUUGUAUGUGAUACUGAGGGAAGAAGAAGUAAGUGAUUUUGGUGGGGAGAGUGUAUAUUUAGUGGAAGACCAGCAUUGCCAUCAUUGUUUAAUUCUGAAUGGUCAAGGCUGGGCCUAGAAUCUGUAUUGGCACUGGUGUGUUCUUCAUGUGUUAUUUGUUAUACAAUGCAGGUCAGAGACCUAAGAUUAAGCAGCUAAAUCAUCCUCCCUGUCCAUGAGGUCCAUUUGUAAAUUUACAAAUGGACUUCAUUGAAUUACCAAAGGUAAUGCAGUAU